AUGGGAAUUGCACGGGUUCUUAAUAAGUUGCUAAAGAACUGCAGCAACGCAUCUUACUUGGAAGAUAAAGCGAUCUCUGAAAGAGGAGCCUACAGAAGUGACCAACUUAUGCUCAAAUGGAGGAUUCCCUUAUUCAGAUGUCUCGCAUCUAUCUUCAGUGCCCAGCCAUCUGGCAAAGAGCAGACUGCUAUUGAAGAGUCCUCAGAUAAUGCUAGCGUUGAGGAGUGCUCUUCUAUCAUGCAUCACCUCUUGGUCUUAUGCCAGGCUCUCCCUAUAUUCCUUGACAGGAUUUUCAAUCCUGUUCUUGCAAUUAUAUUGUCAGUGACAUUUGUUCUUGCCUUUGGGGAGGUUGUACCUCAAGCAAUAUGUACCAGGUAUGGGCUGGCAGUGGGUGCUAGCUUUGUUUGGCUCGUACGCAUCGUCAUGUUCAUUGCCUAUCCUAUUGCUUACCCUAUUGGGAAGGUAAAUCAGCAAAGUCACAUUACUCAAUAG
rnacentral:rRNA from 1 species